rnacentral:rRNA from 1 species
UAUAUAAGUUAUCGUUUAUUGAUAGUACCUUACUACUUGGAUAACCGUGGUAAUUCUAGAGCUAAUACAUGCUAAAAAUCCCGACUCCGGAAGGGAUGUAUUUAUUAGAUUAAAAACCAAUGCCCUCUGGGCUCCUUGGUGAUUCACAAUAACUUUUCGAAUCGCACGGCCUUGCGCCGGCGAUGGUUCAUUCAAAUUUCUUCCCUAUCAACUUUCGAUGUUUGGGUAUUGGCCAAACAUGGUCGCAACGGGUAACGGAGGGUUAGGGCUCGACCCCGGAGAAGGAGCCUGAGAAACGGCUACUACAUCCAAGGAAGGCAGCAGGCGCGCAAAUUACCCAAUCCCGAUUCGGGGAGGUAGUGACAAUAAAUACUGAUACAGGGCUCUUUUGGGUCUUGUAAUUGGAAUGAGUACAAUUUAAAUCCCUUAACGAGGAACAAUUGGAGGGCAAGUCUGGUGCCAGCAGCCGCGGUAAUUCCAGCUCCAAUAGCGUAUAUUAAAGUUGUUGUGGUUAAAAAGCUCGUAGUUGAACCUUGGGCCUGGCUGGCCGGUCCGCCUCACCGCGUGCACUGGUCCGGCCGGGCCUUUCCCUCUGUGGAACCCCAUGCCCUUCACUGGGUGUGGCGGGGAAACAGGACUUUUACUUUGAAAAAAUUAGAGUGCUCCAGGCAGGCCUAUGCUCGAAUACAUUAGCAUGGAAUAAUAAAAUAGGACGCGUGGUUCUAUUUUGUUGGUUUCUAGGACCGCCGUAAUGAUUAAUAGGGACAGUCGGGGGCAUCAGUAUUCAAUUGUCAGAGGUGAAAUUCUUGGAUUUAUUGAAGACUAACUACUGCGAAAGCAUUUGCCAAGGAUGUUUUCAUUAAUCAGGAACGAAAGUUAGGGGAUCGAAGACGAUCAGAUACCGUCGUAGUCUUAACCAUAAACUAUGCCGACUAGGGAUCGGACGAUGUUAUUUUUUGACGCGUUCGGCACCUUACGAGAAAUCAAAGUGCUGGG